CCCAUACCAUGCCAGCCUUGGUAAGGGAGAAGGGACAGGCAGACGGAAGGAAUUGCCAAAGGUGUUUGAAAAUGGGUGGAGGCUCUUGGGAAGCGGGUGCCCAAUAGGGGCUUCUACAGGGGCAGCAGAAUGUCUUGGGCAGAAUCCCUGCAGGAGCUCUGAGACUCCCUUGACUUUGUCCUUCCUCCCAGGAAACUACAACUUGCUUUGGCUUCUGUGCUCCUCAAGAAGUUGAACGUCCAAACCUGGUCAGGAUGGACGGACGAAGAUGGGCAGCUGACCUGCUCAAGCUGUCUCCUGCAUCCCUCCCUACAACCUCUGAUCAUCCCCUCCCGGGACCCUCAGAGAAAUCUGGUGAGGAAGAGGACGGUCAGAAUUCUAUGGAGCCAUCUGUGAAUUCAUUGGGAAGAACAAAGAAACAAUUUAAAUGCAGGGAAUGUGGAAUGUGCUUUAGUCACUGUGGAAGAAUGAGGAUACACCAACAAACUCACACAGGAGAGAAACCAUUUGAAUACAUGGAGUGUGGAAAGAGCUACAGUUGUAGUCAAACACUUGGAAUACAUCAACGAAAUCAAAUGAGGUAGAAACAGUUUAAAUGUAUUGAAUGUGGAAAGAGCUUCAGUGAAAGUAGAAACCUUAGAAUACAUCAACGAACUCACACGGGGGAGAAGCCAUUUAAAUGCAUUGAAUGUGGAAAGAGCUUCAGUCAGAAUGGAGCACUUAGAAAACAUCAACAAACUCAUACAGGGCAGAAACCAUUUAAAUGUAUGGAGUGUGGAAAGAGCUUCAGACUUUGUGGAGACCUUAAUAUUCAUGAGAGAAUUCACACAGGUGAAAAGCCAUAAAUGUAUGCCGUGCUCCACUCAAGGUGCACUCUUUACUUCACAUCAAGAAACUCAUAAAGGCGGAAAUCAAUUUUAAAUGCAUGGAACCCGUGUGAUGUUCUGGUGUUUGUAUUUAAAUUUGUACACACACACAUAUAUAUGUAUUAACGUAAUGAAGGUCACAUAUACUAUAUGUACAAAAGAAGUUGCAAGUUGUUGCUAGAUAAACAGGGGGAGAGUGUGAAUCUGGAAUGCUCAAGGUGUUUGAUGAAUCUGUUGAGUUUUGACCUCCGCUCUUCACUGCCAAAAUGAUGGGCUGCCCUUGUCUUGUGGAUCAGCAUCUGUCAGGCUUCAGGGAACUGGCUUCCUUCCCCCUUGGCCGUAGAUAAGCAGAACAAAGGAAAAGGAUUCUUCUUACCUGUUAGAAACUUUAAUGAUUCCAGCAAGAGAACAAAGAACCCGUCUUCACACAAAUGGCGGUGCUCCCAAUGAAUAAGUCCACCCCCUCACAUCCCUAGUCACCCAUGUCACUUCUGCAUCUUGUAACCUGGGCUUGCACCCUCUGUGCUUUCUGUCCUGCCACUUUUGCAGCUCUCUCUGACCUUGGGGAAAGCAGAGGGAUGCUUUACAGAGACAGUGAAUCAGUUACCUCUCUCUCCCCUAGUGUUUUUUCUUCAAGCUGUUCCCCAUCCAGUAUUUCCCGGCUUCUGCCUUCUGAACUAUGUUCCUCUGCAAACCACUGUUCCAAAUCUAUACAGUCCUGCUCCUAGGAAGAUUAAGGGGGAUUGAGAGGCUCCCACCAUUGUGCCUCAGUGCAGCUCUCCUCAGCACAAUACCUGGAGACUGCGGUAAGGUUUUGGUUUAGGGGAGAAAGCGUGGGCCUGGGUCUAGGCCAGGGGUGGGAAUAAGGGUAGAGAAUUACAAGGGGUGCUGCUUUUUCUGCGCAAGGCUGGUUCUUGUUCCUCCUGAGUACACGCCUGUAAUCAGCGUGUGUGCUUUUAGCAGGAGAGCGCUCCUUUGUCUCAGAGCGUAAGAUGCUUCAGGAGGCAUUAGAGUGAAGCGCCUGUAUCGCACAUGUGCCAUGAGAGCAAUGGUGGGGGGAAUGUAAAUACCUGUCGGGGUGCUUAAAAGGAGGCUGUUGUUUCAUGAGAGGGGGCGGGGGGAGGAGAGCCUUAGCAACGCCAAACAGAAAGAGCCAAGCGUGCUUAUAGGAUACAUGUGGUUGCUACUCUGACUUUGAAGCUAGGCAGUGGAAGUGGCACAUGCUUCUGCUAAAAGCAGAUCUGGGGUAGGGAAGAUUAAGUUAAUUGCAACCUUGAACUAUGGUUACCAGACGUCCCCAUUUCCCGGAGAAAGUCCCCGGAUUUACAAAUCUGUCCCCGGACAAAAUCCGCCCCUGGAAUGUCCCUGGAUAUCAUUUAAUGUCCCCGGGUUUAUAUUUUAAGUGUUGUACAUUUAUUAGUAGGGAAUGAAUGUUGCAUGAUUGUUUCAUCGGCACAAGACACAUCAUAUGGAGACUUCUGGCAAGGCAAAAUGGCGGGCGCCAUGGCAGCAGCAGCUCCUGAAGCCAGCCAGAGUCAACUGCACUACCAGGCUGGCUCCAGGGUGCUGAGACUGUCGCUGACGCUUCCACUGCUGAGGAACCCCCCCACGACCCAAAUCAAGCCAGGAGCGAGAGCACCUGGCCAACUGCCCAGCAGCGCUCCGGGGCCAGGAAAACCCUGGAGACAAGGCAGGGAGAAGAAGGAGAAGGAAGAGAAAGAGGAAGGAUAAAAAAGAGGGGAUCCCCGACCUUGCCAUGCCACUGCUGCCGCUGAGGAGCAGAGGGAGGAGAGCACUGGGAGGGCAAGGACACAUGACCAAACCCAGGUCCGACCUGAGCCUACUCCACUCCAAGAAAGCAGGCCAGGGUCCAGAGGAAGGCUGCGCGACAGAGGAGACCACAGAAGAGAUUACUUCUUAAUUUUUCUUUAAAAAUAGCUUUUUAAAAAUAACUUCUUUUCUCUUUUUUUAAAAAAAAACGUGUCCCCAGAUUGCUACUCUGACUUUAAAGAUGGGCAGUGGAAGUGGCACAUGCUUCACUUCUGGGUUGGCGCCAUCGCCGAAUGGCGGACUCCCUCCGAGCUCCGGAGGGAGCCUGCUCGGCAGGGGCUGGGUUCUACCGCGCCGGCGACGCGGGGACCCUCAAAAACCAUGGGUGCUGAAACCCAUGGGCAUGGUAACUCGGCGGGCACCGUUUGCCCCCCGACCCGCGAAGGAGCCUUUUUUAAAGGCUGCGGAGCGGGUGACGGGGGGGGGUGCUAUGAGUCCUCCGCUUCCCCUGCCGAGCGAAGCCGCAUGCCAUUCGACGGAGAGCGCUGACUUCUUCCAUUGAAAAUUUGGACUUAAAAGAAUAAUCCGUGAGUAAUUGGAACUCGGAUUAAAAAGGGGGGGGAAAUUUUUUUUUAAAUCUGGAGCGAGCAGGGGAGGUGCAAAAAGGAAGUCAGCCUCCCCCCUGUUGUAGAGGAGUUAAAGCAAAGGAUUUGACAACUAAGAUCGAGCGCAACCUUAUUUGGAUAAAGUUAUCAAUUUCGCGAUGGAAAAGUAUAAGAUUGGGCUGGAGGAGAAAAGUGGAAUGUGAAUUAAAAUGCACCCCCCCCCCCGGAAACCCCGGGAGCAAUCCGUGAGAGCGCCGGGAGAGGAGAAAUAGAGGUUUUGACAGCUGUCAAAGGAGCUGUCAAAGUGGAAGAACAAAAAGAGAACUUUGUUACGAGGACUUUGCCGGUUACAUUUGUUACAAAUUGGAUAUAAAUUGUUUAAAACAAGGAAUAACAAGUUACUUUGACUGUUGGGUGUGAUCUGGAAGGAAACUGAGUUACUAUAAUCCCUCUAGAGGAGCUGUGGGACACUACAAGUAUUGUUGCUAUGGAAUUUGAAUAGGACUUUUUAUCUCCUGGGAAACUGCAGAAGUGGAACACUAUUUUGUCUACAGAGGUCUAUACACUAAAGGAGACAAUGGAUUUAUCUAUUGAAGAAUGGAAGGGACUUGACGUAAUGUUUUGUUCCUGAAUAACAAAGCCUCUGUAGAGGAAUUAGAAGCUUUUGGAAUUAGAACAUUUGUGCAGAAGAACAGGGGGGGAAAAAAGGAGGAGAGAGAUCAACAAGAACAACAAGAAUAACAAGAACUGGACAAAGGUGGAAGUGGGAACAUUUGGGACAUCCAGAUUUGAAAGAUCUAAAGGAAUAAAAUUGGAGGUUUUACUCUUAAAUAUAAAGAUCUGGAUGGAAAAAAAUGGACCUUUUUGAGACAGACUCCUUCCAAGAUUGGACAUUCAAAAUUAAAGAUGACCAAAAGACGACAAAGACUAUUUAAAAGACGACAAAGCGGACUGGUGAAGGACUAUGGCUUAGAUGUGGGAGCUCCAGAACGACAGUAGACAUUGAUGGACAUUGGGAACGCAACCGGGAAAGGGGGGAGGGAAAUUUGGAAUCCAAAGCAUGUUAAAUUACAAUUUAUUCCUUUUUUUAUUUUUUUAUUCAAAUCUGUAUUAAAGAGGGGAACUCGUGGAAGGGAACAGGUCGAUUUUAGGGGAUGGGAAAAUAUUUUUAAAUUGGGACAAUGAUAAGAAGUUUAAAACUUGGGGUAAGAAUUUGUUGAAUUUAUUUGAAAGAAUUGGAAUACAAGAGGGGGAGGGGAGGGGAAGUCCUGGAAAGAUGCUAAUGAAAAUAAGGUUUUAAAUUUGGAUGUUUUUCUUUUUCUGUUAUAUUUGAAAAUUUUUAAUAAAU
ensembl:lncRNA